AUGCCUGACAGGGAUCAUCCACAACCGGCAUCUCAAGGCAACAUUGGUUCAUGUAGCACAACAAGUAAUAGGUACAACAAUCUAGCAUCCCGCACUCCACCAACAACUCAUAAUGCUUCUGCCUCACCAAGCAAGCAGAAAUCAUCAAUCUCCCCAGCAUCCGCUGCUCGCCUGGCACAAGAGUGGACCGUCGCACUAAGUGCGGAGGAUACCAAUGGAGAUGAACAACAACGUAGAUACAUAGUAGAAAACCCACCAUCCCACCUUCUAAGAGAUAAAAACACCCGAAAAAUAAAUCAAAACAAGAAACUUUUGUCCCCCUUUCAGACCAAGCAAUGCUCAAUAACACGUACUGAUACGCGGGUAGCCCGCUCAACUUAUUCGUACAUUCAAGAAAUAUCAAAUGAAGCCUUGUUGGAUGAAGUAUGGCUUCAAAGUUCUUGUCCAUUCAACAUCUCCAUAAAGUUACGCACUCUCCAGCAAUCAAUUGCACGCGGUGGCUGGAUGGAUACUGACUGCUUAAAUUUUGCGAUCCGCAAAAUGUUCUUGGAUGACGUGGAUCGGUUUGAGGGAACAAACUAUUUGGGAUGGAGACACUUCAUAAACCUCGACUUUGCAAGCUAUGCCUUGGCGGGGGGUGAAUUCUGGGUUCCAGAGCACCAGCUAGGACACUUCAUUGGAACACACAUACAUUAUGACGUUUCGCAAAGCCAUCAGAUACUCAUACCACUUCAUCUAGUUAAUCACUAUGCGUUGUAUGCAUUCGACAUGGAGAACAAGAAAAUAUCGAUACUUGACUCGCUCAGUGCACUAGGCCCCUUCAACGAAUCAAGAAUAUCUAGACAUAACAAGACAUGUCACACCAUAGCAUAUCAUCUCGCCGAGUGCAUGAGGUUAGCUUUUCCUGGAUGGGAUGAGGACAUACCUAGCUGGGGUAUUGAGGUCGUAGAGAACAUACCAGAACAACAAAACUCGUAA
rnacentral:rRNA from 1 species